rnacentral:rRNA from 1 species
GAGUAACACGUAGGCAACCUGCCCUCAAGCUUGGGACAACUACCGGAAACGGUAGCUAAUACCGAAUACUUGCUUCCUUCGCCUGAAGGAAGCUGGAAAGACGGAGCAAUCUGUCACUUGAGGAUGGGCCUGCGGCGCAUUAGCUAGUUGGUGAGGUAACGGCUCACCAAGGCGACGAUGCGUAGCCGACCUGAGAGGGUGAUCGGCCACACUGGGACUGAGACACGGCCCAGACUCCUACGGGAGGCAGCAGUAGGGAAUCUUCCGCAAUGGGCGAAAGCCUGACGGAGCAAUGCCGCGUGAGUGAUGAAGGUUUUCGGAUCGUAAAGCUCUGUUGCCAGGGAAGAACGUCCUUGAGAGUAACUGCUCAAGGAGUGACGGUACCUGAGAAGAAAGCCCCGGCUAACUACGUGCCAGCAGCCGCGGUAAUACGUAGGGGGCAAGCGUUGUCCGGAAUUAUUGGGCGUAAAGCGCGCGCAGGCGGUCAUUUAAGUCUGGUGUUUAAUCCCGGGGCUCAACCCCGGAUCGCACUGGAAACUGGAUGUGGAGGAACACCAGUGGCGAAGGCGACUCUCUGGGCUGUAACUGACGCUGAGGCGC